UACGUAGGGUGCAAGCGUUGUCCGGAAUUAUUGGGCGUAAAGAGCUCGUAGGCGGUUUGUCGCGUCUGCUGUGAAAACCCGAGGCUCAACCUCGGGCCUGCAGUGGGUACGGGCAGACUAGAGUGCGGUAGGGGAGAUUGGAAUUCCUGGUGUAGCGGUGGAAUGCGCAGAUAUCAGGAAGAACACCAAUGGCGAAAGCAGCUCUCUGGGACGGUACUGACGCUGAGACGCGAAAGCGUGGGGAGCGAACAGG
rnacentral:rRNA from 1 species